AGGUAGCACAAUCACUUGUUCUUUAAAUAAGGACUAGUAUGAACGGCACCACGAAGACCAUGCUGUCUCCUUUUUCUAAUCAGUGAAACUGAUCUCCCCGUGAAGAAGCGGGGAUUAUUCUAUAAGACGAGAAGACCCUAUGAAGCUUAAAAUUUAUAUCAACUGCCCMCCAUAYACCACCUCAACCUGACAGACCUGAUUACCAAUUUUUGGUUGGGGUGACCGCGGAGCAAAAUUAAACCUCCACAAUGAAAGGACUAACCUCCUAAUUCAAGAAUUACACUUCUAAAAAUCAACAUAUUGACAUAAAUUGAUCCAAAUCUUUGAUCAAUGAACCAAGUUACUCUAGGGAUAACAGCGCAAUCCAUUUCAAGAGCCCCUAUCGACAAAUGGGUUUACGACCUCGAUGUUGGAUCAGGGUGUCCUAGUGGUGCAACCGCUACUAAAGGUUCGUUUGUUCAACGAUUAAAACCCUACGUGAUCUG
rnacentral:rRNA from 1 species